UACCGCAGUUUUCCUCGGCAGUUAACUGCAGCCGGUUUUCUAAAACUUCGGUAGUUAACUGCCGAAGGUGUU
rnacentral:pre_miRNA from 1 species